rnacentral:rRNA from 1 species
GGGUGCGAUCAUACCAGCACUAAUGCACCGGAUCCCAUCAGAACUCCGUAGUUAAGCGUGCUUGGGCGAGAGUAGUACUAGGAUGGGUGACCUCCUGGGAAGUCCUCGUGUUGCACCCC